UUUUAAAAAUCCCAGUUCCUUAUUCCUGGAGCCUAAAUAGUUCAUCAUUUUCUUGCUGUCUUCUUGCCCUCCUGCAGUGGGUUGAACGAUGUUCUUCCCCAACCUCCCCCCCACCCCCGGCCCGCCAAAGACAUGACUACAAAUAAUUAAGGAUCUCAAGAUAAGAUCAUUCUGCAUUCUCCAAAUUGCCACUGACUCCAAUGACAAACGAGUAUCCUUAAAAGAGACAGGGGAACAGCAGAGGGGAACACGCAGAGGAGAGGGGGCCACGUGAAGACAGAGGCAAAGGUCGGAACAAGGCAGCCACGAGGCGAGGAAGGCUCGGGGCCACCGGAAGCUGGAAGAGGCAAGGAAGGGUCCUUCCCCAGAGCCUUCGGAGGGAGCGCGGCCAUGCUGACCCCUCGAUUUGGGGCCUGAAGCCUCCAGAACAGCGGGAGAAGACAUUUCUAUUGCUCCAAGCCACCAAGUUUGUGGUAAUUUGCUACAGCGGUCCUAAGAGACCCAGACACCGAUGCACAGACACGCCGCGCACACACGGUUCUGCCCCCCAAAAGAAUUGCAGAAAGAAAACUAAGUAGGGAGAAGUACCCAUAUCCUGGUACUUCAGCUUGUGAAAACCUCGCGUGCGCAGAAAAGCCCCGUCUUCCCUACCUGAGGGAGGGAUCCCUGGGAGGGAUUGAUUCUCUCCAAGUCUCUUCCUUUGCUCCCUCUCCCGGGUCAGAGAAAGGCCACUGGAUUCACUUAGCUGCUUUAAACAGUUGCCUGCUUGUUUUGCUUCCAAACUCACGUGCUCUCUCAAUCACAGGGGAGCCUGGCUGAACAAAGCCUGACAUGUCCUAGCUCUUGGGUCUGCGCCUGGAGUCGACAACCCUCACCAGGCAGGCUGCACAAAUCUCCCAGGAUGUCCCCGCAGAAUUCCCUCGGCUGCCUGGCUGUGGCCCUCCCUUCCUUCCCUCCCCUGAAGACAGCGCGGCGUGUCCGGAGGCUCCAUGGUGAGCGAAGAAUGUUCUCCAAGUGGCGUCAUACAGGCUGCCUCCGCAGCCCUGGUGGCUUCAGGAGGUCAAGGUCAAGGUGCACCCCCGCCCCAGCUCUGGAUAACCCAACUUUAAGAAAGGGUAGUCAGGGGUGUGGGGCAGCUUUGUUUACUGCCCCAAAGCGAAGUUUUCUUGAAGCCCAGGGCCCUCUCGAUGCGCUGGCCUCCAGGCCCGACCACCGUAGUGUUCCAAGGGGGACUUCAGAUCUUGGCACGCUCCGUGGGUACACCAGUUCCUGUGAACUGAGAUGUCCGUGUAGUUUGGAACGAAAGGUAACUUUUUCGGUCUGCGCAGUGGGUUUUUGCCCCUUGGUUUAGUUCUCAUUUGGUCCGGCAUCUGGUGAUACUAAGUCGGAUCAAAGACCUGAUUGUAUCAGAGUAACACAGCUUUUUUAGCCCCUUCCAUCCUUCCUUCCUUCCUUCCUUCCUUCCUUCCUUCCUUCCUUCCUUCCUCUCUCUCUUUCUCUCCCUCUCUCCCUCUCUUUCUCUUUCUUUCUCCUUCUCCCUCUCUCUUUCUUUCCGUCUUCCUUCCUUCCUCCUUCUUUCUUCCUUUCCUUCUCUUUCCUUUUUCUUUCUUUCUUUCCAUUGCUUAUGUAGCACACUCAAAGCUUAGUGACUUAAUAGACUGAAGAAAACGUCACCUCUGGCAGAGAUUGGCUACAUUUCAGUCGGGUUUUCUCUUCCCUGCACCCUGGGAGGAUGCAUUUCCCGGCCACCCUUGAGUUAGGCUGGGGCCAUAUGACUGGGUUUGGGCCAAGGGAACGUGGCUGGAAGAGAGAUGGGAGGGUUUCUAGGCCUGGCGCGAAACCCCGUGUGCAGUGGCCCACGCUCUCCUGUGACAACCUUGGAAGGACUCGGGUUUAAGGUGGUGGCAACACAAGAUGGAGAGAAAUGAGAUUCCUGAGUCACCUGUUGGAAUCAAGUCACUGUUCCGCUUCAGAUGUGACAUGAACGAAGGAUGAGCCAAUACCGUAUCGAGCCACUGAGGUUUGGGGGUUGUUUUUGUGGGGUUAU
rnacentral:lncRNA from 1 species